CAGCAGCCGCGGUAAUACGUAGGGUGCAAGCGUUAAUCGGAAUUACUGGGCGUAAAGCGUGCGCAGGCGGUUCGCUAAGACAGAUGUGGAAUCCCCGGGCUUAACCUGGGAACUGCAUUUGUGACUGGCGGGCUAGAGUAUGGCAGAGGGGGGUAGAAUUCCACGUGUAGCAGUGAAAUGCGUAGAGAUGUGGAGGAAUACCGAUGGCGAAGGCAGCCCCCUGGGCCAAUACUGACGCUCAUGCACGAAAGCGUGGUGAGCAAACAGGAUUAGAUACCCGGGUAGUCCCUGUCUCUUAUAC
rnacentral:rRNA from 1 species